UACGUAGGGUGCAAGCGUUAAUCGGAAUUACUGGGCGUAAAGCGUGCGCAGGCGGUUUUGUAAGUCUGAUGUGAAAUCCCCGGGCUCAACCUGGGAAUUGCAUUGGAGACUGCAAGGCUAGAAUCUGGCAGAGGGGGGUAGAAUUCCACGUGUAGCAGUGAAAUGCGUAGAGAUGUGGAGGAACGCCGAUGGCGAAGGCAGCCCCCUGGGUCAAGAUUGACGCUCAUGCACGAAAGCGUGGGGAGCAAACAGG
rnacentral:rRNA from 1 species